AUUGUGCUUUUGCUAGCAUGGACGUCUGUUUAAAGUGCGUUUCUUGUAAACACGCUAUAUCUGGGCGUGACCUACGCAGGUCUCUGGUAAGACAAUACCUCUUCACUGGGGUAUUCAACCCCUUAACAUUGUGGUUGUAUAUUUUCAUGAUUUAAUGUAUGUUUUAUAUUGGUUCUGUUCGUCUGUGUACAAGUCCCCAUGAUGAGGUACCGGCCCUCCCAGGGGAUGCUGUG